rnacentral:rRNA from 1 species
GAGUUUGAUCGUGGCUCAGAGUGAACGCUGGCGGCAUGCCUAACACAUGCAAGUCGAACGGUAACGGGGCCCGCAAGGGUGCCGACGAGUGGCGGACGGGUGAGGAAUACAUCGGAAUCUGCCCGGUUGUGGGGGAUAACGUAGGGAAACUUACGCUAAUACCGCAUACGACCGAGAGGUGAAAGCGGGGGGGUCGCAAGACCUCGCGCGAUCGGAUGAGCCGAUGUCGGAUUAGCUAGUUGGCGGGUAAGAGCCCACCAAGGCGACGAUCCGUAGCUGGUCUGAGAGGAUGAUCAGCCACAC